rnacentral:rRNA from 1 species
AUAUAACUAAGCGGAGGAAAAGAAACUAACCAGGAUUCCCCUAGUAACGGCGAGUGAAGCGGGAAAAGCUCAACUUGAAAAUCCGUGUAGCCCCGCUGCACUGAAUUGUAGUCUAUCGAAGCUGUUGUCAGUGACCCUCCCGGGAGAAGUCUCUUGGAACAGGGCAUCAUAGAGGGUGAGAAUCCCGUCUGUGCCCGGGAAGUGGCCACGUACGACACGCUUUCAACGAGUCGAGUUGCUUGGGACUGCAGCUCAAAAUGGGUGGUAAAUUCCAUCUAAGGCUAAAUACUGGCGAGAGACCGAUAGCGCACAAGUA